GAGCUCUCAAUCUGUCAAUCCUUCCAGUGUCCGGGCCUGGUGAGAUUUCCCGUGUUGAGUCAAAUUAAGCCGCAGGCUCCACUCCUGGUGGUGCCCUUCCGUCAAUUCCUUUAAGUUUCAGCUUUGCAACCAUACUUCCCCCGGAACCCAAACGCUUUGGUUUCCCGAAAGCUUCCCGCAGAGCCUACAAAUGCAACUCAGCGGAUCGCUAGCUGGCAUCGUUUAUGGUUAGAACUAGGGCGGUAUCUGAUCGCCUUCGAACCUCUAACUUUCGUUCUUGAUUAAUGAAAACACUCUUGGCAAAUGCUUUCGCAGUAGUUAGUCUUCAAACGGUCCAAGAAUUUCACCUCUGUCGUCUGAGUACUAAUGCCCCCGGCUGUCCCUAUUAAUCAUUAAGUCAAUUUCCGAAAACCAAAAAAAUAGAAACGACUUCCUAUUCCAUUAUUCCAUGCACAAAUAUUCAAGCUUUGUAGCCUGCUUUGAGCACUCUAAUUUUUUCAAAGUAAACCUGACGGCAUCCCAGGACACUCGGUUAAGAGCACCCUGGAACCUCCGUCAAAAACACGGGUAAAUGGGGCAGUAGCGUCAAAUAACGAACCGCCCCCUACCCGCCGAGAUCCAACUACGAGCUUUUUAACCGCAACAACUUUAAUAUACGCUAUUGGAGCUGGAAU
rnacentral:rRNA from 1 species